AUCAAGGAUACUUGCGUUGGGGAUUGUAGGGGAGAUGAAUCUGAGAGAAGACUAUAGGCCAAGUGGAGCUCAGAAGAACAGGCACAAGAAGCGAAGGUCACCACUGUGAGCCCUAUAAUAACCCUGCAGACUUCUUCCUGGAUGUCAUUAAUGGAGACUCCUCUGCUGUGGUAUUAAACAGAGAGGUCGAAGAUGGCGAAGUCAAGGAGACUGAAGAGCCUUCCAAGAGAGAUAAGCCACUCAUAGAAAAACUAGCUGAGUUUUAUGUCAACUCUGCCUUCUUCAAAGAAA